CAUGAUAGAAUAAACAGAUAAACAUUGGUGAUCGAUAGCAGAUGAGCAGUCUGAAGAGAUUGAGACUCACCGUUUGCUGCUGCCAUCAUAGCCUGGAGCUGUUCAGCCUCAGUAGGGGGGUUGGGCCAUGGUCCUGUUCCUGCUAUCACACCAGCACCGGCACCUGCCUCUUCAGGACGUGCUCCAGCCCUAGAUGACAGAAAACAGGGAACAGACUGGACAGCAUGUCGCUGGAAGCUGCGGGACACAUAAUCUGAACGACCUAAACACAACAUUCCACUAGAAGGCUACGCCAGGUGAAGCCAAACGCUACCACACACUAGCCUUCACUUCGCCUUCACUCUACCUGGACUUCUCGUAUGGAGUCCAUCUCUGCUGCAGGGUGUGGAACCUGUGUUGGCUGAAACAUAAGCACAGGAGCAUGCAGCUGUCACUCAAUAACCCUGCGUCCACUGAGGACAAGACCAGACUGACCAGAGCACAUGGAUGGGUUUCCUCUGAGGUCAAACCUUAUUUUGCAGCGAGUAAGUAAGU
rnacentral:lncRNA from 1 species